rnacentral:rRNA from 1 species
UGGGCCUCAAAUGAAGCAAGGCGACCCGCUGAAUUUAAGCAUAUAACUAAGCGGAGGAAAAGAAAACAACUGUGAUUCCCCUAGUAAGGGCGACUGAAGCGGGAAGAGUCCAUGUUGGAAAGCACCGCCGCGCAUGCGGCUGGAGCAUUGUAACCUAGAGAGCCAACGCUAGUGCUGCGACCUGGUGUAAGUCGUUUGGAACGACGCGGCAUAGAGGGUGAGACCCCCGUCUGCCAUUGGGUCGCAGCAUGUACGGCUUGGUUUCCAAGAGUCGCGUUCCUUGGGAUUGGAGCGCAAAGUGCCGGGUAACUUUCCGGUAAGACUAAAUAUUUCCCAGAGACCGAUAGCGAACAAGUACCGUGAGGGAAAGAUGAAAAGAAUUUUGGAAAGAAAGUUAAAAAGUCCCUGAAACCGCUGCAGGAGAAGCGUAUCAGUCAAGUGUUCGGACACAGUAACCGCGCGAUGGCCGCCCGUGAGCGGCGGUGGGGUCAAGCGCCCUGCCGCCGAAUUCUGGACGGCCGACGCGAGAGGUGCUGGGUUACCGGGUCAGCAUCGGUUUGACCUGCGGCCUGAAAGCCGGCGGGAAGGUGGCAUGCUGCUCGCCCUGCGCUUGUGGUGUGUGUUUAUUUAGCCCGUCGGUGGUGCCGUGGGAUGGACCGGCAAGUUUCAACUCGCACGGCUUUAUUGCUCUUGUGCUCGGCUCCCCGGGGUCACAGUAGGUCGGACUGCUUGCAGUGCGGUCUGCCAGUGGUCUCGCCGGGGCUGGUGCCAAGGUCGAGUUCGAGAUGCUGACAAAAUUGGCUGAUAUGACCCGUCUUGAAACACGGACCAAGGAGUCUAACAUGUGUGCGAGUGCUCCGGUGGUAAACCGCUGCGCGAAUUGAAAAAGAAGGCGCCCGUUGGGGUGCUGAGGCAGGAUCCGGAGCCCCUCGGGGCAAAGGUGCACUGUCGCCGGGCGAGUUGCAGAUCUAACUCGACUAGGAAGAGCAUACCUGUUGGGACCCGAAAGAUGGUGAACUAUGCCUGACCAGGGUGAAGGGCACGGAAACGUGCCUGGAAGCUCGAAGCGAUACUGACGUGCAAAUCGUUCGUCUGAGUUGGGUAUAGGGGCGAAAGACUAAUCGAACCAUCUAGUAGCUGGUUCCCUCCGAAGUUUUCCUCAGAAUAGCUGGAGCUCAGACAGUUACUUUCGGUAAAGCUAAUGAUUAGAGGUUCGGGGAAUGCAACUAUUCUUCACCUAUUCUCAAACUUUAAAUGGGAGUGAUCCUGGGUGUUACUUAAUCGAACCCCGGGUUUUCGAAUGUAGAGUUCUUAGUGGGCCAUUUUUGGUAAGCAGAACUGGCGAUGCGGGAUGAUCCGGACGCGCGAGCUAAGGUGCCAAAAUGACCGCUCAUGUAGAUCCCAUGAAAGGUGUUGGUUCAUUUAGACAGCAGGACGGUGGUCAUGGAAGUCGAAAUCCGCUAAGGAGUGUGUAACAACUCACCUGCCGAAUGAACUAGCCCUGAAAAUGGAUGGCGCUUAAGCGGUCUACCGAAGCUCGGCCGUCAGGGUAGAUGCGAGACCCUGACGUGUAGGAGGGCGUGAGGGUGGCGACGCAGGCUGGACGUGAGUCUGGCUCAAGCCGCCCUUAGUGCAGAUCUUGGUGGUAGUAGCAACUAUUCAAAUGAGAACUUUGAAGACUGAAGUGGAGAUGGGUUCCGUGCGAAGAGCAUUUCGACACGGGUGAGUCGGUCCUAAGAGAUAGGGUCAUGUCCGUUUACACGGCGGCGUUGGGUUGCAUUUCGGUGCAGCUUGCCGCCCUCUGUCAAAAGGGAAGCAGGUUAAUAUUCCUGCACCUGGGCGUGGGUACUGCGCGGCAACGCAAAAGAACUUCACGACGUCGGCCAAGCUCCCGGUGCGAGUUUUCUUUUCGCAUUAACAACCUCGGGCGCCCUGGAAUCGGUUUAGCCGGAGAUAGGGCCAGUCGGUUGGGAAAGCGCUUCACCUAAUGGAGCGUCCGGUGCAGUUUGGACGAUCCUUGAAAAGUGAGGGGAAGGACUUACAAACACCCCAGGCCGUACCGAUAACCGCAUCAGGUCUCCAAGGUAAGUAGCCUCUAGUCGAUAGAACAAUGUAGGUAAGGGAAGUCGGCAAAUUGGGUCCGUAACUUCGGGAAAAGGACUGGCUCUUGGGCUUGGGCACUAGAGGCCUCUGCUUUCAGAAGCCCGCGGACUGCCCCGGGGCUGCCGGACCCGCCUUCGUGGCUGGGACCAGGCGGAACCGGGCGCGGACCCGAGCCGAUGGGCAUUGGGGGCCAAGUUGACUUCGGUUGGCAAGGCCCUUUCCUCGGUGCGGAGAACAAGCAACCAAGAACUGGAGCGGACAAGGGGAAUCCGACUGUUUAGUUAAAACAAAGCAAAGCGAAGGCCGGAGAUCGGUGUUGACGCUUUGUGAUUCUGCCCAGUGCUCUGAAUGUUACGCUGAAGCAAUUCAGUUAAGCGCGGGUAAACGGCGGGAGUAACUAUGACUCUCUUAAGGUAGCCAAAUGCCUCGUCAUCUAAUUAGUGACGCGCAUGAAUGGAUUAACGAGAUUCCCACUGUCCCUACCUACUAUCUAGCGAAACCACAGCCAAGGGAACGGGCUUGGGUGAAUCGGCGGGGCAAGAAGACCCUGUUGAGCUUGACUCUAGUCUGACAUUGUGGGACGAUUCCGGAGGUGUAGCAUAAGUGGGAGCUCCGGCGCCAAUGAAAUACCACUACUCUGGACAUUGUUCCACUCAUCUGAUGGAAAGGCAGGCGGGUUCGUAGCCCGUGCUUCUAGCCUUAAGCCCCCGGCUUGCCGGGGGUCGAGCCUGGUCAGUGACAUUGUCAGGUGGGGAGUUUGGCUGGGGCGGCACAUCUGUUAAACGAUAACACAGGUGUCCUAAGGCGAGCUCAAUGAGAACAGAAAUCUCAUGUGGAGCAGAAGGRCAAAAGCUCGCUUGAUUGAGAUUUUCAGUACGAAUAUCAACUGUGAAAGCAUGGCCUAGCGAUCCUUUAGUUGAGUCGAAAGUUGACGCUAGAGGUGUCAGAAAAGUUACCACAGGGAUAACUGGCUUGUGGCAGCCAAGCGUUCRAAGCGACGUUGCUUUUUGAUUCUUCGAUGUCGGCUCUUCCUAUCCUUGGGUUGCAUCCGGCCCAAAGGGUAAGAUUGUUCACCUACCAACAGGGAACGUGAGCUGGGUUUAGACCGUCGCGAGACAGGUUAGUUUUAUCCUACUGAUUCACACGCCAUUCUGACAGUAGUCUAUCUCAGUACGAGAGGAACAGAUAGUCCGCAUGACCGGUUAAUGCAGUUGACCGACAGGUCAGUGCUGCGAAGCUGCCAUGCGCAGGAUAACAGCUGAACGCCUCUAARHCRGAAWC